AACUAUUGGAAGCAGCUGGCGGAACAGGAUCUGGGGAAGGAGUUUGGAGCCCUGGGUUAGCUGGUUGGUAGCUCUGAGCCCACGGUGUGGUGUGAAGCUAUGGAUCAGGAGCGGAGGCGGGGAGCUGCACUGCUAAGGCUGUUACACGUGCUGUGGCUGCUGCCCUACUCCCGGACCGCCCCUGAAGGUCCUACUCCAGCGUGGCGGGAUGAACUGCAAAACCACACAUUCCAGCACACAAUGUACUGCCAGAACUGGAGUCCCAGCAUCGGCCUCUCGGAAGCCUAUGACGGGGACCAGCUCUUCUCCUUCGACUUUUCGCAGAACACCCGAGUGCCUCGCCUGCCUGAAUUUGCUGACUGGGCUCAGAAGCCAGGAGAUACUUCCACCAUUUUCUUUGACAAAACGUUCUGCCAGUCUAUGAUCCAGGAAAUAGGACCACACCUCGAAGGGCAAAUCCCUGUGUCUAGAGCCCCCUCAUUUAAUGCCUUCUGGGUCUCUCUGCACCACCUAUGGUCUGCACUGUUUUCGCUGUGGGACAAAGCCAUGUGCCUAGGACAUAGGUUUCCUAUUGUUGACGUGUUCACGCUGAAGCCCCUGGAGUUUGGCAAGCCCAACACGCUGGUCUGUUUUGUGAGUAAUCUCUUCCCACCCACGUUGACGGUGAACUGGCGGCAUCACAUGGACCCUGUGGAAGGAAUCGGGCCCACUUUUGUGUCCGCGGUUGAUGAACUCAGCUUCCAGGCCUUUUCUUACUUAAACUUCACACCAGCACCCUCUGAUGUUUUCUCCUGCAUCGUGACUCAUGAGAUUGACAGCCACACAGUAGUUGCCUAUUGGGUGCCUCAUAAUGCGCUGCCUUCUGAUCUUCUGGAGAAUGUGCUGUGUGGUGUGGCCUUUGGCCUGGGUGUGCUGGGCAUCAUUGUUGGCUUAGUCCUCAUCAUCUACUUCCAGAAGCCUUGCUCAGUGUAUUCAAGCUCCUGAAGCGAAUUGAGAACAGCCUGGAAGGGCCCACAAUUCACGUGUUCCUCCAAGUGACUUCUUGUUGGGCUGGAGUGGAUUAUCCAAGGAGAACCUGCGGUGGUGUGCCCUGAGCAGAAGCGAGGGUAUGGGUCACCUGAUUACUGCUGCCAAUCCAGACUCCUGGUAGACCUCCAACAGCACCUGAUAACAUUGCCAAGCUUGUGGCGUUAUGUGCCAGGACUGCGAUGGCAACUGCCUUCCUCUUCUGAACACAACUUCAGCCCAGUAGUCAGGGCUCACCUCUAACACUCCUCCCUGGAGAGGACUCCCUGUCCACCGUGCCCUCAAUGAUUUUUUUCUCUUUGAAGUACACUGGCAUUACUGCUUACUUGCCAUAAAAUAAACUCUUCUCUUUACAGAUGUCUGUUCUCACUCCCCAACUGAUCUAAAAGCGAGUGUCAUGGGAACAGAAUCCCUGUCUCCUCCCUGGGUAUUCCCUGUAAUGCUCUGCACAGAAACGCUGUGGUUAGUCCACCUGUGGCGUGUGAUGCACAGCCUGGAGGAAGAAGCGUGUGAAAGGAGAGGACUGGCUUUCCUGGCUUGGGCAGUGCCAGGAAAAGAGGGACAGCUUGUGGGAAUGAGGCUGCGGAUCCCUCACUCCUGCGGUCCUGGCGGUCCUGACACUACAGAACUAGUUAUCCAAUCACAAUGGAUAGCAUGUGAAACGUUCUUUUGGGUUGAUGGGAGGUGGGGGACAGAACUUGGUCUGUAAAAUUAGGAGGAAAAGGGGAAGGAAAAAUCCUCUUGGCUGAGCACAGGUCUCUGGGUUUUCUGUCCUGCUUUAUUCUAAAAAGCACCCUCCGCCUUCUCAUUAAUAGAGAAGUGAAAGCUUCUGCAUUUCCUGCUGCUGCAUCAGAGAAGGUUUCACAUCUCCUUUGGCUGCCCGAGCAGAGACUAGACAUGGCCUCAGCUUGCUGGUGGGCGGCCACCCCGGUGCAGGCAGGCACGGGACCUCACCACCAGCAAUUCUGUGCAGGCGCGGUUUUCGUAGACGGUGAAAAGGAUCACAAGCCCUGGCUCCUGCAGGUCAGGUUCGCCGCCUACCUGGUGGGAGGGCGGGGCGGGGAAGAGCAUCCGGGGGAAGUGCGAGUACCAGUGGGGAAGAGUUUACACAGUAUUGAAACUGUCAAAAGAGAAAGUGCGGAGAGACCCUGGUUCUGAGAACAGAAGGAAUUCUGAGAACAGGGAAGCAAAGACUUGGAUGGUGGAGUGACUUUUCCCUUUAUCUUUCUCUCAGUGGAGGCCACCACUGGCUGCCUUUAUGUGGGUCACCUCCAGCCCCAGAAUGUAGUGAAUGUGUGGGUUUGCUCAUUUGCAUUCACGUGUGUGCGCGCGUGUCUGUGUGUGAAUCUUCGGAGCUCUUUUCAAAAUUGUAAAAUGGGGACGCUCAACAGAUCUUUUAAGGUUAUAUGAGAUAGCAUGGAAAGGGCCUACCUAGUGCAGUAUCAGUUCCAGAGCAGAAGCUCAACAAAUUUUGGACUCACUGCCUCCAUCUUCUGCCCGUUCCAGCUCUCCUGAUGGCUCAUAUUAGAGGAUGUAGAGUGUAGAAACAUCUUAUAAUGAAGAGGAGGUUUCAGAGCCGGGGUUGCUGGGAAGCACAACUUCAGUUAAUCUCAAUUAUUACCCAAGUCUUUUGCUUCUGAUAGUCAUUCUUCUAUUCAUUUUUGGUACAUACUUCUUUUUUCUUCCUAAGUAUCGAUUUUCUUGAGGUUGGGGACUUUGGGGGAGGACAGGUAAGUGUGGUGUCAAGGGGCUCUCUCUUAGUCCUCUCUCAUUUAGCUCACUACUAAAUCAAAUCUGAAGGUUGCAGAAACUGAGGUGGGGAGACGCAGCCCCGAAGCCACUGGGGAAGAGAGAGAAGACAAUUUCAGGUUUUAAAUUUGUGAGGGAAGAAGCCAUCACAGUUGUACAGUUCACAAUGGGAUAGGAGGAUGAAUUGCCAUUUAAAAUCUGCCUUUUCCAGGGGAAGUAAAGGAGGGAAACUUUAUCUUUUUUUUUCUAGUGGCUUCAUAAUGCAGGGACCUGCUUCAGAACAGAUAGGACUAGUGGGAGAAACGCAUAGGAGAGUGUUGAGUUUGGGCAAGGCAGGAGAGCUUUGAGAAUUGGUCCAUUCCCAGCUAUCUAUCAGGGGUUCACGUGGAGUUGUCCUGUGGUCUGCCCUGAGAUGGCUCAGACUGGUUGAAGGUAGGAUUUCUUGGCUUCAAAAAAGCAGGAAGGACAAAAUGCAGAUCUGCAAGAAGCAAUGGAAUCUCAGGGAAGGACUUUCCAGUCUCCGUCUCUGACCUCUAAAGUGCAAUUGUUUCCCCUAUUCCCCAGUGGCGCUUUGAGGCCAGAUAACCCUGCACUCUCCCUGGGCCUUCUUCCAUCUCAACAGCCCUGUCUCUGCCAUCUGCUCCAGAAGGGCCUUACAGCUCCUGCCUCCAUCUCCCAUCUCCGGGUGACAGGGCAGACCAAGGGUUAUGCAAUAUCUUUCUAAGUUACUCCCUCUAAGGGACAGAGAAGUUACCUAGUCUCUGUCUUUUGGAAGGAUACUGAAGGGAAACAGUUAAACCGGUGGGCAGCCCAGGCUACGUAUAUUCUGGGAGUAUUGGGAUUAUUCUCUCCACUGAUCUAAGGAAAUCCAUCUACAGACUGGUCUUUCCCACAGGGAAAGAUUUAGGAGACGGAGUCCUUUAAAGCCUAGGGCAGGAUAAGAUUUACCUGGUAACUGGUGAUGCUAGGCUGAAGCACUCAGUGAUUUGUCUCAUAUUUGUCCCCGCCCAUCUAACCCAUCUGACAACUCUUAGUUUGGGACUGAUUUAGAAGAGCUGGUAGGAACAGAAUUAGUAUCUAGGGACUGGGUGGCUCCAAAUCACUCAUUUAUGGGGGAUCAAGGAGUCGGGGCUAUAUUCUAGUCCGCUCAGGGUCUGGAGAUCAUCUACCCAGGCUGGAACUACUGGAGCAGGUGAGGACCCAGGGCCCUGGAA